UGAUGGGGCCAAGGCCACUACUUGCCCCCCUUGAAUCCGUCCCUAACCGCAGCAAUAAAUAGAAAUUGGAGAAGUGUUGGAAUCUGCUGCACGUCAUGCGCUUGAAAGCAGGAAAAGAUCCUUGCAUACUUCUUCUUCUUCCUCCAAAUGCAUACUAUUUCUACUUUUAGGGUUUCAGACAUAUUCAAACGAGUUGCAACUUAAAGUGUUCUCGGUAAUGGUUCUAUAAUUCACGGGUAAGCAUAGGAUUCUUGCAUAACUCAAGCGCCUCGAUCAUGACAUCAAAUUUUUUCAGGAGGAACAAGGUGUAGAACAUCUCUUUAAACACUUGCAGGAUUUUUCAGACAAUACGUCACAGCAUUAUUUUGAUAUUGUCCUUUAUUUAUUUAAUUAAUUUUGUUCAUUGCAAGAGAUCCAUUAACUCUUUCAAACCUCUAUAUUUAGGAGGAUAGGUGGGAACAUGGUUCAAGUUGGAGGAUAACCUUUGUACAAAGUUGACAGUAAAUUGGGUGAAGAGAACAUUGGAGGCCAAAAAACAAGUAGAUUAAAGUCCAUAUGAUGCUUCCAAUGAGCCUUAGGUAAAUAUUGCAAGUUUGUUCUUUCUUUUUGUUUCUUCUUCUUACAUUUAAUUUUUGUACUUUUAGGAAUACACGCUGAUGCUCUAUUUUUAAUGAUGACUUGAUUAUAGAGAAGUUCUCCGCAACAAUUAGUGCGUCCAUCAUUGGUGUAAUUAGAAUGGAGACAUCACUUGAAAGAUAUGGCAUUAGGAAUUUUUUUGUUUAGUUUGUGUAUAAUUUUAUAUUCCAUGAAUUAUGUUCUUUUGUUUCCAACUUACCAAAUGACUACAAGGAAGAGUAUGUUAAACAACAAUGUUGAAAGAAUGGAGUUAAUUUUGA